rnacentral:rRNA from 1 species
GACGAACGCUGGCGGCGUGCCUAACACAUGCAAGUCGAGCGAGAGACUUCGGUCUCUAGCGGCGGACGGGUGAGUAACACGUGGGUAACCUACCUCAAACAGGGGGAUAGCCUCCCGAAAGGGAGAUUAAUACCGCAUAACAUCACGCUAUCGCAUGAUAGUGCGAUCAAAGGAGUAAUCCAGUUUGAGAUGGGCCCGCGGCGCAUUAGCUAGUUGGUGAGGUAACGGCUCACCAAGGCGACGAUGCGUAGCCGACCUGAGAGGGUGAUCGGCCACAUUGGAACUGAGAUACGGUCCAGACUCCUACGGGAGGCAGCAGUCGGGAAUAUUGCCCAAUGCGCGAAAGCGUGAGGCAGCAACGCCGCGUGCGCGAUGAAGGCCUUCGGGUCGUAAAGCGCUUUUCAGUGGGAUGAGGAAGGACAGUACCACUGGAAUAAGGUACGGCUAACUACGUGCCAGCCGCCGCGGUAACAC